rfam:Pristionchus pacificus strain PS312 contig11820, whole genome shotgun sequence.
CGGAGUUUCAACAGGCCAUACAACUCGCGUAUGCAUGGCACUGCUGAAACUUCGAA